UGGGGAAUAUUGCACAAUGGAGGAAACUCUGAUGCAGCGAUGCCGCGUGAGGGAAGAAGGUUUUCGGAUUGUAAACCUCUGUCUUAAGGGACGAUAAUGACGGUACCUUAGGAGGAAGCUCCGGCUAACUACGUGCCAGCAGCCGCGGUAAUACGUAGGGAGCGAGCGUUGUCCGGAAUUACUGGGUGUAAAGGGAGUGUAGGCGGGAUGGUAAGUUAGGUGUGAAAUGCGGAGGCUCAACCUCCGAGCUGCACUUAAAACUGCUGUUCUUGAGUGAAGUAGAGGUUGGCGGAAUUCCCAGUGUAGCGGUGAAAUGCGUAGAUAUUGGGAGGAACAUCAGUGGCGAAGGCGGCCAACUGGGCUUUUACUGACGCUGAGGCUCGAAAGCGUGGGGAGCAAACAGG
rnacentral:rRNA from 1 species